rnacentral:rRNA from 1 species
UACGUAGGGUGCAAGCGUUAAUCGGAAUUACUGGGCGUAAAGCGUGCGCAGGCGGUGAUGUAAGACAGUUGUGAAAUCCCCGGGCUCAACCUGGGAACUGUAUUUGUGACUGCAAGGCUAGAGUACGGUAGAGGGGGAUGGAAUUCCGCGUGUAGCAGUGAAAUGCGUAGAUAUGCGGAGGAACACCGAUGGCGAAGGCGAUCCCCUGGACCUGUACUGACGCUCAUGCACGAAAGCGUGGGGAGCAAACAGG